rnacentral:ncRNA from 1 species
GUGGCUCUGGAGAAGCUCAUAAGAUGAGUGCCGAAGGUGCAAGGCGUUAAAUUAACGCUAAUCUCUCAGGCAAAAGGACAGAGUUUGAA